AACAGAAUUGAUGUAGAAAUGAAAAAUUCCAGUACAGAGAAGAUUAGUAUGGCCUCUGUGCAAGGAUGACACGCAAAUUCGCGAAGCACUCCAUAUUAAA
rnacentral:snRNA from 1 species